rnacentral:misc_RNA from 1 species
GGCUUAGUCCCGUUCUUUUUCGAGCAGAAGCAGGAGCUCCACUAACCACUAGCUAGCCAGAUUUCCCUUUGCUCCUUUCCUUCACUUCCAAUUUUUAAAUCAACCCGUAAACCCACAAAGUUCAAUAGUUAAACACCCAUUUCAACAAAAACCCUAACCCAAAAUGCAUUUCCCCCUUGCAAGAGUAGUAUAUUCAACUUUUAAAUGGGUAAGUUCUUCCUUCUUAUCUUGCUAAUUACGAAAGUUUAUUUUGAUAUUCCAUUGUUCUAUGGUAAUUCCUUGGCAUGAGAUUAUGAGGAAGAUAAGUUUAUAUUAGAUUAGUGGGUAAAAUUUUAUUUUGAAAUAAUUGGUUUCUAGGGUUAAUGAAACUGUAAUUUCUAGCUAUUAGGUGUGUGCUCCUUAAUAGGUGAAAUUAAAAGUUUGUAUUUUUUUUAUAUGGAGAGGAUUGCAUUUAAGUUUUAAGUCUUAAUUAAAUACUAGGUUGAGAAUGGAUAAAAUUAAAGUAUGAGGUGGUUGAUUUUGGAACUAAUAAUGGAUAUUAAAUAUAUUUAUGUUAGCAAGAAUAUUGAUUUAAUUUUGAAGGAGAUUUUAGCAUGAAGUGCUUAAGGAGAAGAAAAAUAUGUUGAAUGGAAGAGCAGAAAUAAAUAGAAGAAAAAGGUGGAUUGUAAUGAAUAUGUUUUGUAGGCCUCGAAUGGGAUUGUAACGUGUUUGAGCUUUUGGAAUUGGGGAAAGGUUUAGUUAUGCCGGAAUGCUACCGGAAUUUUUUUUUAGAAUUUUCAAAAAUAAGUCAUGCAAUUCACAUUUCAUAUUCUCAUUCUAGAUUUAAAUUUCUUCCUUGAUUCAAUUUUUUUUGCUCUCUAACCUUAGGAGAUGAUCCAGUUCCUGUAGUAGAUACUAGGAGUCCUCCACUGGUCUAAGCUCCUUUCUAUCUUUAGUAUAGCAUGAGAACACUCUCACAAGAUACUGCCAAGGCAUGGAUUUAGAAUGGCUUGAACUUUCUCAUGAUGAACAUGAAAUAGAGGUAUGUUCACAGCAAAAACAGAUACUUUUAAUCAUUUGAGAGUCCCUAAUGAACAUAAAGAUUGUCUUGUGAGAAUCAUUUCAGAAACAGAAUGCACAUAGGGCAAAAGUAAAGGCACUGAAAGAUGGCCUCUCACAGCUACGGUUGACAUGCUUGCACAUGAUGGGUCAACGACUAGAUGGCCUGAGCUUCAAGGAGCUGCAGCACCUAGAAGAUCAAUUAAGUAACGGGUUACUCUCUGUUAAGGAUAAGAAGGGACAAUUUUAAUAUAAACAUUUAAUCAGUAUCAUUAAUAAUUAGUCUUAUAAUACACUAGAAAAUUAUCAUGUGACAAAUCUAGCUAAAAUUUUAGCAACAUUAGCUAAAACUGAAAUUUUAGUGGUCAUUAGAGCUGAAAUUCAUCUGGUAAAAUUUACAGUGAGUGAGUUGAAAAAUGCACGAGUUUAAUUAUUUCAUCACAUUUCACUUUUAUAAUAAUUUAGUCCACAUAACUUUAUUAUUUGUAACAAUGUAGCCUUAGAUUUGCAUGACUGCUUUGAUUUUGGUUGAUUAGUUGAAUUUUAAUAGGACUAUUUUAUUAAUGUAAACAUAGAAUACAAGUAAUGAAGAAAA